rnacentral:rRNA from 1 species
GAUGAACGCUGGCGGCGUGCCUAAUACAUGCAAGUCGAGCGAACGGACGAGAAGCUUGCUUCUCUGAUGUUAGCGGCGGACGGGUGAGUAACACGUGGAUAACCUACCUAUAAGACUGGGAUAACUUCGGGAAACCGGAGCUAAUACCGGAUAAUAUUUUGAACCGCAUGGUUCAAAAGUGAAAGACGGUCUUGCUGUCACUUAUAGAUGGAUCCGCGCUGCAUUAGCUAGUUGGUAAGGUAACGGCUUACCAAGGCAACGAUGCAUAGCCGACCUGAGAGGGUGAGCGGCCACACUGGAACUGAGACACGGUCCAGACUCCUACGGGAGGCAGCAGUAGGGAAUCUUCCGCAAUGGGCGAAAGCCUGACGGAGCAACGCCGCGUGAGUGAUGAAGGUCGUCGGAUCGUAAAACUCUGUUAUUAGGGAAGAACAUAUGUGUAAGUAACUGUGCACAUCUUGACGGUACCUAAUCAGAAAGCCACGGCUAACUACGUG